CCAAAAAACAAAAUGUUUUGGUCCUAAACUUGCUGUUAUUUUUUGCUAGACUUACACAUGCAAGCAUCCGCGUACCAGUGAAAAUGCCCACUGAUCAAAUGGAGCUGGUAUCAGGCACAACAAACUUUAGCCAAUGACACCUUGCCAGGCCACACCCCCACGGGUUUACAGCAGUGAUUAAUAUUAAACAUAAGCGAAAGCUUGAUUUAGUUAUAGUAAUGACAAAGAGUCGGUAAAUUUCGUGCCAGCCACCGCGGUUAUACGAAAGACCCAAAAUAACGGCCCCCGGCGUAAAGCGUAGCUAGAAGUUCUAAAACUAAGGACAAACACCUUCUCCGCUGUGAAACGCUCAAGAAGACAAGAAUAUUACUACCUUAUAGUCAUUUGACGCUACRAAAGCUGAGACACAAACURGGAUUARAUACCCCACUAUGCUCAGCCCUAAACUUAGAUAGCAAAAUACUACCUAUCCGCCAGAGAACUACAAGCAAAAUACUUAAAACUCAAAGGACUUGGCGGCAUUCCAUAUCAACCUAGAGGAGCCCGUCCAAUAAUCGAUAAUACACGCUCAACCCAACCAUUUUUGGCCACUCCAGCCUAUAUACCGCCGUCGUCAGCUAACCUUGUGAAAGAAAAGUAGUAAGCACAACAGCCCUCACUAAAACGUCAGGUCAAGGUGUAGCUAAUAAAAUGGGUGUGAUAGGCUACAUUUUCUAUUAUAGAAAAGACGGAAAAUACAAUGAAACCUUGUAAUAGAAGGUGAAUUUAGAAGUAAACUAAGAAAGGAUUCUUACUUUAACAUCGCCCUGGAAUGCGCACACACCGCCCGUCACCCUCCUCAAUAACCAGAUGAGGCAAG
rnacentral:ncRNA from 1 species